UCUGAUGCAGCUUCCCAAAGGUAACAGAUGCAAAUAUGAACCAAUACAUACAUAUUUCUUUCCCUCUUUUUUUUUUUUUUGAGAGGGAGUCUUGCUCUGUCACUCAGGCUGGAGUGCAGUGGUGUGAUCUCAGCUCACUGCAACCUCCGCCUCCCAAGUUCAAGCGAUUCUCCUGCCACAGCCUCCUGAGUAGCUGGGACUACAGGCGCGCACCACCAUGCCCAGCUAAUUUUUGUAUUUUUAGUAGAAACGGGGUUUCACCAUGUUGGCCAGGAUGGUCUCGAUCUUUUGACCUCAUGAUCCAGCCACCUCUACCUCCCAAAGUGCUGGGACUACAGGUGUGAGGCACCACACCCGGCCUUUCCCUCUUUUUACACAAAGGAUGUAUCAACAUACCAUGAAAACUGCUUUUGUCAUUCCGUAAUAUAUUUUACAGUUAUUCCAUACUGACUCUCAAAGAGCUUCCACUCUUUGAGAAUAAAUAGCUAUAUGUUAUAUCAUUGUAUAGAUGUGCCAUAUUUAAUUAACUAGGCCUCUAUUGGGACAUUUAGUUUUUUCCUAAUAUUUUGCUACACAAAAAAUAAUACCAUAAGGGCUAAGCUAAUUAUUCAUUCAUAGAUAUUAUGGAAGAAUAUGGAAUACAAUUUCUGUAAGUGGACGUGCUGGGUUGUAGCAUAUGCACAUGUAAAAUUUUGAUAGACACUGGGAAACUUCCAUCUCCCCACAAACGCCAUGUGAAUUUUAUACUCCCACCAACAUUUGUCAGACACUGCAUGACAGAUAUUGCUAUAAGCUAGAACUACAUGCUCAAGGUAGUUCACAUUUUCAAUACUGGAUCUCAAUGUAUUCCUUCUUUUUGAGGCAGGGUCUCACUCUGUCACACAGGCUGCUGGAGUGCAGCAGCAUGAUCUCGGCUCACUGAAACCUCUACCUCCCAGGCUCAAGUGAUCCUCCCACCUCAGCCUCCUGAAUAGCUGGGACCACAGAGAUGCACCACCACACCCAGUUAAUUUUUUGUAUUUUGGUAGAGAUGGGGAUUCACCAUGUUGCCCAGGCUGGUCUCGAACUCUUGAGCUCAAGCUAUCUGCCCACCUUGGCCUCCCAGUGUUGGAAUUACAGGUGUGAGCCACUGUGCCUGGUUAUUAUUCCUUUUUUAAAAAUUUUUUAAAUCACCAAAAUGUCAUGAAUAUAUUCCUUUUUUUUCGAGAUGGACUCUUGCUCUGUCGCCCAGGCUGGAGUGCAGUGACGAAAUCUCGGCUUACUGCAACCUCCGCCUCCCGGGUUCAAGCGAUUCUCCUGCCUCAGCCUCUUGAGUAGCUGGGACUACAGUUGCGUGCCACCAUGCCUGGCUAAUUUUUUGUAUUUUUAGUAGAGACAAGGUUUCACCGUGUUAGCCAGGAUGGUCUCGCUCUCCUGACCUCGCGAUCUGCCCACCUUGGCCUCCCAAAGUGCUGGGAUUACAGGCGUGAGCCACCACGCCCAGCCAAAUAUACUCCUUUUAAUGACAUAAAUCUUUCCAAAGCUAGGUUUUGAUGGUUCCUGUGGUAAAGUACCACACAAAAAUUAGUCAACAGGAAAUGACGAGGGCAAGUGUCCAGUCUAAUUCCCAGGUUUAAGUAGUUGUACACAUCCCAUUAAUAACUGUACUUAAGAAUGAAAUAAAAAUAUCUUCUUUCAGCUUAAGUGUAUUAUUUAUUCAAAUGGCUAAUAAGCUUAAUGAAUACUCAUUAAAUUGUUUAGAAUUAACUAGUUAAUAAGUGAAACUUUUAGGGAUUUCUUUUGGCUCAGAAGCACUGUGAAAAAAUUACUCAAACACUAAAGGUGUCAAUUCAAACUUUCUGAUCUUUGCUAAUUUGAUAGGUGAAAAAUGGCAACUUAGUGUAGAUUUAUCUGGCAUUUCUCUUAUGUGAAGUUAGUUGUUUCUUAUGAUUAAGCAUUUGAAUUUUACUUUUUAUACAUUAACUAUAUCUUUGUCCAGUUUUCUAUUGGGUUAAUGGCUUUCUUCUUGAUUUCUGGGAGCUUUUUAUAUAUUAGGGUAAUUGGCCAUUUCUGACUGUUUCAGAUAUUUCCCCCAGUUUGUUGUUUUCUUUUUACUUUAACAUGGGCUUUGCCCUAUAGAUCUUUAACAAUUUAGCUGAAUUUAUUGUUUUCUAGACUUCUGGGUUUUGUCAUACUUAGAAAGGCUUUCCCUAUUACAGGAUUAUAAAUUUAAAAGCCUCCCAUGGUUUCUUUCUCUUUUUUUUUUUUUUUUUUUUUUGAGACAGAGUCACAGUCCAGUCCAGGCUGGAGUGCAGUGGCGCAAUCUCAGCUCACUGAAACCUCCACCUCUUGGGUUCAUGCGAUUCUUGUGUCUCAGCCUGAGUAGCUGGGAUUACAGGCACGUACCACCACGCCUGGCUAAUUUUUGUAUUUUUAGUCAGAGGGGGUUUCGCCAUGUUGGCCAGGCUGGUCUCGAACUCCUGACCUCAAGUGAUCCGCCUGCCUUGGCCUCCCAAAGUGCUGGAAUUACAGGCGUGAGCCACUGUGCCCUCCCAUGGUUUCUUAUACUUAUUUUAACAAUGUUAUUUUUGCUUUAACCAUUUCAAAUAUCAAAUUUCUGGUAGAACUGAGAUACUUUUAAGUUUAUAGGACAACUGGCAUCUCAAACUUCAAGUGUCCAAAAUGGGGCUCUCUUGUCAUCUCCAACCUUGGUCCUCACCUGCUUUUCCUCUAUUCCAACAGUUACUCAAAAUAAAAAUGUAAGACUUGUCUUUGGCUUCUCUUUUUCUUCAUCAAUGCCUUCAAACUCCUUACCCUGAACAUCCAAUCUAGCAGCAAUUUGUGUUUUUUCUGGGAAGGAGGGGAGUCCAAAAUAUAUAUUGAAUUAAUCUAUUUCUGGCUUUCUCUACAGCCACCAAUUACCUUAGUCAGGGGCCCAUCAUCUCACCUGGACUAUCACAGGUCUCCCUGUGUUGCCCAGGCUGGAGUGCAGUGGUGCAAUCUCGGCUCACUGCAACCUCCGCCUCCCAGGUUCAAGCGAUUCUCCCACCUCAGCCUCCUGAGUAGCUGGGAUUACAGGUGGUGUCUGGUGUUUGUCCAGCAAAAACCAUAAAUUCUUAAGAGAAUUGUGGAAGUGAAGAUGUUAAAGACAGCUCUUGAUUCCUCUCUUAAUUUCUGUAGUAAGACUUCAUCUUCAGCAGGCAGCUGAAAAUACAAUGUAAAUUUCUACAUGUAAAUUUUAGACUACUGGAUCCUAUAAAAUGUAUGUGGCCUCAUAAAAUAACUGUAUGCCACCACCUCA
rnacentral:sRNA from 1 species